AGAUUCGGAAUAAGAUCUUCUUUGCUCUCUUUUUCGAGUUCUUAUUUUUAUCAUUGUUAUUCUCGUGUUCUGAUUGCUUGACGUGUGGUAAUUAGCAGAUAUCCGGGUCCUCUGAGAAAUUAGGGUUUUCCUAGUUUCCUUAUUUAAACGGAAAUCGACAGUGCGAAUUUCGGUUCCCACAGAUCUGAAAUCCGGGCGCUGCUCUUGCUGGGUUUUUGGGAUGGGAACUUUAGGAAAGGCACUUUCGAGGCGAGGAACGUUACGAGAGAUCAGGGUGUGCCAAAGGAGUUGGAACUGCAGUGAAGUGUUCGAUAUGAACCGUUUUAUGCUUCGCCUCCACAAUUGUCAUCUCAAGUACUAUGUUCAGACUUUCCUAAACCCAUAUAUGUUGUUCUGUACAUAAAGCUUAUUAUCUUUAGUCCUAAGUUUCUUUCUCUUGAUUCAAAUAUAUGCUGAGUUCUUCGUUUACAUGGGCGUUGUUUGCAGAUGGUUAAUUCACAUAUGCCGUCUUACAUCGUUGCGAUUCCGAUCUGCGCUGCUAUACAGUUAGUUUGAAAAAUUAUGCGUAGUGAACACAGGAAGAUUAAUCUUGAAAAAUAUUGUGGUUAUAGUUUCUUCUUCUUAUUUUGCAAAAUUGGAUUCUGUGAUAUCAUGUUAGUACCUAAGAUAGCUGUUUGUGUACGUUUAGUCACUAUUAGGUCUACCUUUGAGUUUAACUUUUUAUUAGAAAAGAGUUUGUCAAAUGCAGCUGGGGAUUGCAGUUUAUGUAUUGAAUGUUACAUAUGAUGAUUUUGAAGGAUCAUUCUUGCAGGAAGCCAUCAAUAUUGCUGCUAAACUUUGGGUUCUUAAAUGCCUUAUUUAUGACUUAUGAGAUAAGUGACUCAUUUUAUGUCUGAUUCUUUUUCUGACUUGGUUGCGUAACGUAUAAGGUUAUGAGCCCAUCAUCGCCUACUGACAAGCUUCUUCUGGUACAAUCUCUGAGGAGAAGUGGCCAUGUUGUUGCAGCCACCGAAGAGGGGACAAAUGAUGGUCCUGCGUUGCAUGAGGCCAUCAAACGUAUAGUUCUUUGCGAGUAAAGUGAAGAAGAUUCUUAUGCUUGGAGGAGCUUUCUUUGCGUUACGGAAAGUCAAUCUCACAGAUGAAGCAAAUGUCCAACACCGCAAAACCUCUUCUUGAAUCUUUACAAAUGAUUAAGAAAUGCAGGUUUCAUGUUUUGUGGGUUUUUUCUUAUUGUGACGUGGAAGUAGCUGCUGUUUUGUUGACGUAAGAAUCUGUAUCACCACCCAACUUAAACUAACAGACAGCUUAUCGUUGCGUGACUCCAAGGAAAACAAGCGAGAUUGUUGAGUGACAUGAAAAUUCUACUGAGACUGGCAUGUUAAAUCUGACGUUUAUGGUAAAGCAAGAAAUAAUUUUGUGGCAUAUGAGAUUUUGACGUGGCAUAUAUAGCAGUCCGGUAUUUAUAAGGAGGAUGCACAUGGUUUGCGCCUAUCUUCCUAACAUUUGUUAUGAUUUUUCUUAAAUUGUGAAAUAAUCUAAUAUCAGUUACACUUUCUCUAUAGAAAAUACAAUUAUUCGCUUAUCUUACUGCAAUUUUUUAGGUGAAUUUAUUAGAGAAUAGUAUCACACAAUCCUUUUUCUUUGUCAUACUCAUAUGUCGUUUUUGUUAACACUACUUUUUGUUGAUAAUAAAUUACUGUUGUUAAUGAUGCCGGUUUUUUUCUUAAAGAAAGGUCUAUAUCUCAUCUGGUUUUGUUCCAUAUAAACUUGAAAUUAGGUAAACUUCUUAUGAGGUACUUAUUUAUGAAGAAGAGUCAGGUCUUUGUGUUUAGUAAAUUGCAUAGGGUGUGGUUUGUAUGAUAUAUCAAGUUCUAGAGGGUGAAUUGCGUACAAAAAUGUUUAUUUUGGUUUGGGUCUAAUUUGUAAUGUUGUUUCUGAUCAUAAACCAGUUUGAGAAAAUAGUAUUUGUCGGUUUGUCGUAUUCGUAUGGUAAAUAUAUUUUUACGGUUCUUUCGGUUUGCAAAUAAAAAUAAUUGUAGUUUUUUUAAGUGUACUUCUGUGUUCAUCUAACAAUUCAGGAUCCAAAACAACUAACAUCAAUUGACUGUUUAGAAACUUAUUUAUACUUUAGAAAAAUCACAUACACGUCACUAAUUUCAAUAUUUUUAUUUUCAUAUAAUGGGGACUAUACGACACCAACUAAAUUGAGAACUUUAGAAAUAAAAUCACAAUGAUGUUAAAAAGUGUCUAAAAACGAUUAAACUCUGUACUCAUUUAUUUAGUGUUCUCUUUUAUUUGUCAAAAGAUAGUUUUUAGAAUAAAAAAGUAAAUUCUUUCAAAUAGAGAAAGAUCAACUAAUAAAAUAUAUCUUAAAACAUUUCGAGUUCUAAAUCAUAAAUAUAAAAAAAAUUAAUGAAAAGUAAUCUCUCAUAUAUAUAUAUAUAAAGGUUUAUUUUGAAAUUCGUAAGAUAUAAUAAAAGAUGUAACACUAUCAAUUAAAAAAUACAGUAAAAACACGACCAAUAACAUAUGUCAAUAAAUAUUAUAAUUUU